rnacentral:rRNA from 1 species
CUACAGAGGGUGCGAGCGUUAAUCGGAAUUACUGGGCGUAAAGCGCGCGUAGGCGGCUUGGUCAGUCGGAUGUGAAAGCCCCGGGCUCAACCUGGGAAUGGCAUUCGAUACUGCCAGGCUAGAGUAUGGGAGAGGGAAGUGGAAUUUCCGGUGUAGCGGUGAAAUGCGUAGAUAUCAGAAGGAACACCAGUGGCGAAGGCGACUUCCUGGCCCAAUACUGACGCUAAGGUGCGAAAGCGUGGGGAGCGAACAGGAUUAGAUACCCCAGUAGUCC